CUAACACACACACUGCAACCAUGACAUACACUGCCGCCCUCACACACACACUUCACCGCUCACACACACACUGCACCUUUAAUACACACUUCACCCCUAACACAUACCACUGCUCCUAUGCCCUAUAUCCCAGCAGACCCCAGGUAAGUUGUCAUACUGUUCUUAAACGGUUUGACUACUUACUCUGGGAUGGGAUCCUGGCACUACUGGCACCAUAACUACUACACUGUAGCUGUAGUGAUUAUUGUGUCUGGAUUAUUUCUUUAAAUAAUCUACUAGUGCCCUUCCCGAGAUCAGGCUCUGGAUCCGCCACUGGCCAUUUGGCUUAUCCCUCCUGGAACAUCAACCCUCU